UGGGGAAUUUUGGACAAUGGGCGAAAGCCUGAUCCAGCCAUGCCGCGUGAGUGAAGAAGGCCUUCGGGUUGUAAAGCUCUUUUAGUCGGAAAGAAAGAGUUGCAAUGAAUAAUUGUGAUUUAUGACGGUACCGACAGAAAAAGCACCAGCUAACUACGUGCCAGCAGCCGCGGUAAUACGUAGGGUGCGAGCGUUAAUCGGAAUUACUGGGCGUAAAGGGUGCGCAGGCGGUCUUGCAAGUCAGAUGUGAAAGCCCCGGGCUUAACCUGGGAAUUGCGUUUGAAACUACAAGACUAGAGUGCAGCAGAGGGGAGUGGAAUUCCAUGUGUAGCAGUGAAAUGCGUAGAGAUGUGGAAGAACACCGAUGGCGAAGGCAGCUCCCUGGGUUGACACUGACGCUCAUGCACGAAAGCGUGGGGAGCAAACA
rnacentral:rRNA from 1 species